UGGGGAAUAUUGCGCAAUGGGCGAAAGCCUGACGCAGCGACGCCGCGUGAGGGAUGAAGGUUUUCGGAUCGUAAACCUCUGUCAGAAGGGAAGAAACCGCACUGUGCUAAUCAGCAGUGCCUUGACGGUACCUUCAAAGGAAGCACCGGCUAACUCCGUGCCAGCAGCCGCAGUAAUACGGAGGGUGCAAGCGUUAAUCGGAAUUACUGGGCGUAAAGCGCACGUAGGCUGCUUUGUAAGUCAGGGGUGAAAUCCCACGGCUCAACCGUGGAACUGCCUUUGAUACUGCUUAGCUUGAAUCCGGGAGAGGGUGGCGGAAUUCCAGGUGUAGGAGUGAAAUCCGUAGAUAUCUGGAGGAACAUCAGUGGCGAAGGCGGCCACCUGGACCGGUAUUGACGCUGAGGUGCGAAAGCGUGGGGAGCAAACAGG
rnacentral:rRNA from 1 species